UACGUAGGGGGCAAGCGUUGUCCGGAUUUAUUGGGCGUAAAGAGCGUGUAGGCGGCUGGGUAGGUCCGUUGUGAAAACUCGAGGCUCAACCUCGAGACGCCGAUGGAAACCAUCCAGCUAGAGUCCGGAAGAGGAGAGUGGAAUUCCUGGUGUAGCGGUGAAAUGCUCAGAUAUUACGCAGAACGCCGAUUGCGAAGGCAGAUAACUACUAAUAGAUUGACGCUGAGGCACGAAAGUGUGGGGAGCGAACAGG
rnacentral:rRNA from 1 species